AGUGACCUUCAGGAGUAAAAAAGAUGUGCUUCUCAGGUUCACACUAGAAGUCUGGUCUGCAAGUGCUUAUAGAAACAACUGUGCGUGGUGUCAACAGUGAAGCAAAGUAUUGCCCCUUUCCCUCCUGCCUUGGAACCACAGAUAUCUAUAGCACCCACUUCAGGGAUGAUUGUUUAAAGAGCUCUGCACUCAAAGGGACCAGAUUUCUAAAUGGCUCGGCACUCUUUGGGAACUAUUUAUUCUCCUAGAAGCAUGAAGAGAUAUGCACCGGGUGAGCCAGCAGGGCAUACUCCCACCCACUGCAACACAGAGGAGUGUGCCCUCCCGAAAACUUGUGAACAAAUAAUGUCUCCAGAAGAUGUCUGAUGUAGUGUAAACAAUGGCAGAAGCAGGCCAAGCUGGAAGAAAAAAAAAAAAAAGGCAA